rnacentral:rRNA from 1 species
UACGUAGGUGGCAAGCGUUGUUCGGAUUCAUUGGGCGUAAAGGGUGCGUAGGCGGCGCGGUAAGUCGGGUGUGAAAUCUCGGAGCUUAACUCCGAAACUGCAUUCGAUACUGCCGUGCUUGAGGACUGGAGAGGAGACUGGAAUUUACGGUGUAGCGGUGAAAUGCGUAGAUAUCGUAAGGAAGACCAGUGGCGAAGGCGGGUCUCUGGACAGUUCCUGACGCUGAGGCGCGAAGGCCAGGGGAGCAAACGGG